rnacentral:lncRNA from 1 species
UGGAAAUAACACACAAUCCCGGAAACUUUUGUUUACAUCCCUGCUGAGUUAUUUGUCAUAAUACAUCUAGUUGUAUCUGGACAAGAUCUAUGAGUUGAUUAACCAGCAUGAGACCUCUCUGUACUGGGCCAAAUAAGUUCAUUUGCUCAUUAAUGGCUCUGAGGUCAUGGAGCAGUCUCCACUUUCCUGACUUUUUCUUAAUUACAAAAAUUGGAGUAUUCCAAGGUGAGGUAGAGGGUUCAAUAUGGCCUAAUUUUAAUUGUUCCUCUACCAGUUGAAUCACAGCUUCUAGUUUUUCAGAGGAUAGGUGCCAUUGAGGAACCCACACUGGGUCCCCUGUUUUCCAUGGUAUGGGUCGUGCUGCCCCAAUGGCCGCUAAGGAAAACCCAGACCCUGUCUGUCUUGGUUUCCAUUAGGUGAGAUGGGCUCUAUCCUUCCCUGUUCUUGAUGUCCUAACCCUUUUCCUUCUUUAUAACCCAUCUUUGCCAUGAUAUUUUUUGCUUUAGCUGAAUACCCUCCUGAUGGGGCGUUUUCAUUGGACAAAAUAAGGCCCAAAUGCUGCAUAAUAUCCCUUCCCCAGAGGUUAACCGGGAGUGGGAGCACAUAAGGUAUGAAUUUCCCUUGCUGUCCUUCAGAGGAUUCCCACGUCAAGGCAAUGGAGCUUAUAGUGGGACAUGAUUGAUAUCCUAGGCCCUGUAAUGAAUGAGAUGACUCUGUGGUGGGCCACGCUUUGGGCCACCAAUGUGUAGAAAUUAUACUUUUAUCUGCUCCUGUAUCAAGGAUGCCUUCAAACUCUUUUCCAUUAAUCUUAAGGCGGAGCUUAGGUCUAUCAUUUAAAGAUACAACCAAAUAGGCAGAAUCAUUUCCUGAGGAGCCCAUUUUCUUUAUCUCAGGUCCUGCAGAUUUCUCCCUGGUAUUAUCAGGGAGGAGCAGCAGCUGAGCUAUCCUAUCUCCUUUACUAAUAGAAAAAACGCCCUUAGGGCUUGAGCACAGGACCUGUAUUUCAGGGGAAUGUUGACAAUCCAUAACUCCAGGGUGGACUACUAAGCCCUGCAAGGUGAGUGAACCCCGGCCGAGAAUAAGGCCCAUGGUUCCCGGGGGCAAGGAUGGUAUAGGCUCCACUGGCACCGGCUGAAUACUCAUUUGAGGCAUUAGUAGGAAGUCGGAGGCGGCACGCAGGUCCACCCUUGUGGGUCUUCCUGGGUCGCCUCUCUGACUGCUUCCUGGGUCCUGACAAACCGGUUCCCAUAUCUUUGAGGGCCCUGGGACCGAGGGCCCGAUGACCCGUUUUUUGGCACAUCAGUUGAUUGACUAUCAGGUGGGGGAAGGACUCUGCCCUUUAUAUCCCUCACAGAGCGACACUGGUCAGCUCUAUGAUAACCCUUGCCACACUUAGAGCAAAGAGUGAGAGUCCCUCCCUGUUUAUCUGGAGCUCUGCAAUCUUUCUUAAAAUGCCCAGGCUUUCCGCAAUUAAAACAUGUCCUCUGAUCAUUUCUGCUCAUGGAGCGGUUCUGAGAUUGGAGGAUGGCGGCCGCUAAGCCUGCAUUGGUGAGAGGUCCCCCAAGCUCUCGACAGACCCUGAGCCAGUCUUGUAAGCCUUUGUUCUUUCUUGGGGCUAUGGCCGCUCGGCACUCCUUUGUGGCUUGCUCAUAGAUUAGCUGUUCUAUCAGAGGCGCAGCUUGCUCUGACUCUCCAAAAAUACGCUCUGCUGCCUCUGUCAUUCUGGCCACAAAAUCUGAGAAGGAUUCCUGAGGUCCCUGGAUUAUCUUUGUUAACUGACCAGUGGUUUCACCUGCUCGAGAGAGCGCCUUCCAGACCCUAAUAGCCGUGGAAGAAAUCUGGGCAUAAGCUCCCCAAUGGUAGUUUGUCUGAUCAGCAGAAUAAGCUCCCUGACCCGUUAACAAGUCAAAAGUCCAAUCUCUCUGCUCUGGAGUCAAAGCAGCUGCGUUUGCUCGGGCCUGCGCUUGUGCAGCUUCGUGCCAAAGCGCUCUCCAUUCCAUAUAUUUGCCCAUACUAGGGAGAGCGGCUUUUACAACCGUUUGCCAGUCAGCAGGAGUUAGUGCCAUGCCGGCGAGCCUGUCUAACUGCACCAAGGUAAAAUUAGCAUUGGUUCCGUAUUUACGGACCGACUCGGCAAUUUCUUUAAUUUGUAAGUAUUCUACCGGAGCGUGGACACGCCCACCCUCGGCUCCUUCAAAGACCGGAAAUGCCUGUUGUAUUUUCCUUUGUUCCUCUCUGGGAAUGAAUGAGUCUGCGCACUGCCUCUCUGCGCACUGCCUCUCUGCGCAUUGCUGACGCACUACGCAGGGCGGGGACUCCGCAUAGGGCGGACCUUGAAGCCGACUGCCCUGAGGCCAAUCAGCAAACUGGCCUUCGCCAGCCGCUUUUGGCUUUUUUCUUGACCAAUUAGCUGGCUGGUAAUGGGCUGCUUCUUCCUCCCAGUCUGUUUCCUCAGAGGAGGAUUCUUCACCUGCUUCAGAGCUACUAAGAGCUGGCUCCCCGAGCCCAUCCAGCGAUGAGCACAGGCUCCUUUUCCUAGAGACCUCCGCUAAUUGAUCUUUCUUCUUUUCCCUUUUUCCUCUUUUUCUUCUAAUCUCUCUCCAGGUAUUCCUACCUAACCUUAACUUUUCCUCGGGUUCAAGACCCUUGGAAAGGCCUGUAUGCUUAUUUUGUGUACCAUAUUUCCUCUUUGUUCCUACUCUCUCUCCCCGCUUUACUUCUGAUAGCUUGUCCUGAAUUUCCUCUAGAAUCCGCCCUAUCUUAACUACUUGAUAACAUGUGAAAAGGAACAAAAGGGCUCCUAACACCAGAAAAAAUUCAAGGCCAAACAUAUUCCACUUUACUUCUGAUAGACUGUCUUGAAUUUCGUUAGAAAGUUCAAGAUCAGACUUACCUCGUAAAGCUGUACUCACUGGUACUCUCGUUCCCCAGCUGAAAAGUUCUGAAUUCAUACAGUUGAAUCCUUCUUAACAGUCUGCUUUACGGGAACCUUUAUUACCGCGACCCGCAGUUCUGGUUCUGGAAUGAGGGAUCUUCCCUGCGCCAGUCCCGAGUUUUUUCUCGUCCCGGAAUUCGGCACCAAUUGUUAUUAGACGCGUUCUCACGACCGGCCAGGAAGAACACCACAGACCAGAAUCUUCUGCGGCAAAGCUUUAUUUCUUACAUCUUCAGGAGCCAGGGUGCAGGAAGCAAGAGAGCAAGAAGCAAGAGAGAGAAAAAACGAAACCCCGUCCCUCUUAAGGAGCAUUCUCCUUCGCCUCGGACGUGUCACUCCCUGAUUGGCUGCAGCCCAUCGGCCGAGUUGACGUCACGGGGAAGGCAGAGCACAAGUAGUCAUAAGAUACCCUUGGCACAUGCGCAGAUUAUUUGUUUACCACUUAGAACACAGCUGUCAGCGCCAUCUUGUAACGGCGAAUGUGGGCGCGGCUCCCAACACUGUGUAUAGC